GGUCGGAAGUUCAAGUCUUCCCAGGCCCACCACACUCAUCGAGUGAGCAUUCGUCUUCUGGUUACGGGGCCAUAGCUCAGCUGGGAGAGCGCGUGCUUUGCAAGCAUGAGGUCGUCGGUUCGAUCCCGUCUGGCUCCACCAGAUGGUUUGAUCAUCGACUGAUCGUGCACCGAAAAUCGUCCGCGAAACAUCACUUCGCACCCACCAGUCCGGAUGGACGGUGACGUGCGUGAUUUCUGACAUCGUAAAGAGGAGAUCGAUCCGAGUUGGAUCGUGCAGCAAGCAAUUGCUACGCGAUACUUCAUUAUCUCCGGAUCAUUUCGGCGCUCGUGCGUCUUUCAGGGUAGCUCGCAAGGCUGCGUUUGAAAGACACGCGAGUUGUAAAUGAUCCUUUUAGCGAAGCUUGACCGCCUCGCUAUCGGAACGAUCUUACGAAGCAAGCUGGUCUUUCUAAUCAUUGUCCGGCUGCAGAUAGCGUUCAUCGAGGGCGCGUGCCGUAAGGCAAUUCUGCAGACAACAUUCUGCCGAGUGUGUGGACAUUGAUAAUGAGAGC
rnacentral:tRNA from 2 species